rnacentral:rRNA from 1 species
GAUGAACGCUGGCGGCGUGCCUAAUACAUGCAAGUCGAGCGAACAGACGAGGAGCUUGCUCCUCUGACGUUAGCGGCGGACGGGUGAGUAACACGUGUAUAACCUACCUAUAAGACUGGGAUCACUUCGUGAAACCGGAGCUAAUACCGGAUAAUAUAUUGAACCGCUUGGUUCUAUAGUGAAAGACGGUUUUGCUGUCUCUUAUAGAUGGAUCCGCGCCGCUUUCGCUAGUUGGUAAGGUAACGGCUUACCAAGGCUACUAUGCGUACCCGACCUGAGAGGGUGAUCGGCAACACGGGAGCUGAGAAACGGGCAAGACUCCUAGGGGAGGAGGCAGUAGGGAAGCUUGCGAAAUGGGCGAAAGCCUGAAGGAGAAAAGCGGCGGGAGGGAUGAAGGUGUACGGAUCGUAAAACGCUGUAAUUAGGGAAGAACAAAGGUGUAAGUAACGAUGAAGGUAUUGACGGAACCAAAUAAGAAAGCAACGGCAAACAACGU